rnacentral:lncRNA from 1 species
AACAUCAGUCUUCGAAAAAGAAAAAAUAUAUUAAAAAGAGAUUUAUAUGCUUUUGAUGAGUUUGGUUGUGUGUAAGAAAGGAAACGAUCUGAAAGACCAGUGGAUAGGCCUAAUAGGAGAGCAAGGUUGCAGCUAGUGUUAUCAUACGUCUUAAGAGUAAUGCACAGCGUGACCAAUUCAAUUAUUCCACAAAGAGCUUGCUACAAAAAAAAAGACAAAACUUGUUAAGAAUAUAAAGAUCAAUUUUUAACAAAUCUGAUUUUUACAGGAAAAGUCACGACCAAAAAGGCUGCUAGACAUGCCUAUUAGGAGGAACAGAGGACAAUCUAGACCAGCCAAAGAAGAAGACAGGCCUUGCUAUAGUCGCUAUGAUCAAAGGAGUUCACAUUACUUCACAAUUACUCCAUAAGAAUUCAUGAAGAAAUCAUUAACCAAGAAUUUUAUGAUAAUUUGAAUAAGAUAGUGAACCAGGGAUUCAAGUUUGAGAAAAACAAGAAAAUGCCAACCCCAUGACAUUCCUCAUAACAUGCAGGAAUAUGUUAUCCAAGAGCUGAAAACAGAGUCAUCUAAAGUGAAAAAAUAACCUGAGAUAAAACAUGAGUGUUCUCUUUUCUCUCCUCUAUUUAAACUUUUUUUCCAUAAUACCAGUGAUGAACUAACUUAUUUAGAACCGGUGCAACCGCGUAGACCUGUAUCCCAUAUCUCAGAAUAACACUCAGAAACAUAACAAAAGAGUUUAACACAAAAUGAAGUGUUGGAGUAGCUGAUCAGCUUGGAGCCAAAUACAAAUACAAAUCCUAAAUCUCUGUCCUCUGGCCUGCAAAAGCAUUGUAUGGAACUUUGUAUGGUUAGUUAUAUAUCUGAAAUGUUUGUUGAUAAGCUCAAAUUUACCAUAAGAGCAACUCUGCAAUUUCAGAGGUCGAUUGAUAUGCUUAAAUUUACUAUAAAAGAAACUCUGCAAUUCCAGACAUCAGUUGCAGAUAGAUAAAUAAACAUAAAUUUUUUUAUAAUUUUAAAAUGUUAUAACUAAAAUUCUAAAAAAUUAUCUAUAUCUCUGCAAUGUUUAAAUUUUAAAAUUGAAAUAAUAUAAGUUAAAAAUAUAUCAAUUUUUUAAUAAUUUAUUCACUAACAGUAUCAUGCUUUAUUUUAUAAAAACUUUUAACCCAGAAUAUUUGUUAUAAUUUUUAAACAUUAAUACAUAUAUAUAUAUAUAUAUAAAUAUACAUAUAUAAAUGAAACAAAAUAUUCUCUUAAAUGUUCUAAUAUAAAUCUAAUUUUAUUGAAAUUAUAACUUUCAUAUGAACUAAAUAAAUAAACGUAAUAUUAUUUUUAAUUAUAUUAUAUUAAUAACUAUUUUAUUUUAUCAUAAUAAUAUGUUUUCAUAUUUUUAUAAUGUUAUAAUGUGUUAAUAUUGGUAAUUUAUUAUUAAAAAAUAACAUUAUUGCAUAAUUAACCAGUCAUAAAUAUUUCGCAAAUACAACAAUUUUAGCCGAUGUACUAAUCAUAAAAAUUGCAUAAGAACACUAGAAACCGCAUUCAUCCACGUCCAUAAACUUCCGCAAUCGCACUCACAUGCGUGCAUUUCAACCAGUCAGGGCAUAUAUAGUUAUAUAUGUUGUUCUUUGGAGUUUGUAUCCUUUUUUUUUUCUAAUUUACAUAAAUAUACACUCUCAAAUACAUAGUGUGGACUUUAAGACCCACAAUUUCAUAAUACCUUUACAGUUAAAAUUCCAAAGUCCAAACUUGAGAUCAUUUCCUCCGUAGAUAGCCAUUUCUUUUUCCCUAUUAAAAAUACUAACAAAUAUUCAAAUAAUCAUCAAUUAUUAUUUCAACUGAAAAAGGAGAGACCCAAAAAGAAAGAGGGAAAAGUGGAAUAAAAAGCAAACUAAAACUAGAAAUAAUAGAAGCUUAGCUUACUCCAGUGGACGGUAAACUCCCCUUGACAUCUACAAGCACUUGCAAGUGCAACGAUGAGUACAUGCUGUACAGCGAUGGGUGGAGAUGCUAAACAAUGACCGAUACUUUAAAAAGAUUUUUAUGAAGUUAAAGUUUAUACAACUUUAAACAUUCAAAAUGUUUAGCCCUUUUUCAAAAAAAAAAAACAUUCAAAAUGUUUAGAUGCAAUGACCUACUACAGUAUAGCCUCUAACUUAAUAUUUGAUAAAUUAAUUAAAAUUACAAUUUCUGAAUAAUUUUUGACCAAUUGUUAUUCUUUUCCAUAAACUCGGCAUUUAUUUUUCUUUUGUGGUUUUGCAACCCAUAUAAACCAAUCUAAGACAUACUCAAGUAUAAUAUUUUUACUGAUAGCGAUAGGAUAGAAAUUUAGAUCACCAACUGAUAAAUAUUGUCAACUACAAUAACAAUUGAUAAAGACAAAUUUUCUUUCUAUUAUCUAAGUGUUUCGGUAGUUCCGCUUUGAUACCAUGAUAUGUUUCCUGAGCUAUGAACUUAAAAUCAAUUGGCGGUAACUGAAAUGGUUCACAUUUUUUAUAUAUAACUUAGAUCCCUUUAAUAUUUCCAAUAUGAGAUUUUAUUUCCAACAAAUUCCAAGUAAACUGUUUUUUAAAUAUAAACUUUUCUUUCUCUUUAUUUUCAUAUACUUUUUAGCUGAGAAUGCGAUAGCUAUUUGUGACAAUGUGUCAUUAUCUGGAAACCAACCCAACAUUUUAAUGAAUGACAUCAUAGUUCCACAAAGAAAGAACUAAUAUUUUUUUCCAGAAUCAAUGUUUAACAUCAUAAUUCUCUUCGGAGAGCAUUUGAGAACUUUCGUUAUGGCGCAUGUAGCGACGUAAUCAUUCGACUUAUUUUCAUAUUAUAAAGUGAUAUAUUUAAUUAUAUACUAGAUUGCAUUAUUAAUAGUUUCCGAAUACAUCCUAAUUAAUAAAGAUAUUGACAAAGAGAACUUUAAAAUUCAAUAUGAAAUAUGUUCAAUUUAAGUUUUGGUUCGAUUUUGAUUCGCUUUUUUGGUAUUUUGGUAUUUCAAUUUAUAAGAAUUAGCUACUAUAUUAAAGCCACAUUUAUGUUGGUUUGGUUCUUUUAUAUACUUUUGGUUUAUUCAGUUUUAUACCAAAAUCAUAGCUAUAUUGAUUUUUUAAACACUUUGUGAAUUUUAGUAUAUAUGAUUAGAAAUUGGAUUUAUUAAAACUUAAAAAUAUUUUCAGUACUCUAAAUUUUAAAGACCCAAAAUAAAAAAGCUAAAAGACUAGGGCUACAAGCCAACAAUAAAAAUAUAUUUCUUUUAAUUUAUUUAAUGAAGAAAAAUAAUUGGUGAAUAAAAAGUUAAUAUUUAAGAUAGUUUCAUAAAAUAAAAAUAAGAAAAAUUUAGUAGGAAGAUAGAUGGGCGAUCCAAGUGAGAUCCAAUAUAGAUCCGUACUUUCUAUUCACUUGUGAGAUUUGGAUGGUUUGGAGAGAAUAAUAUUAUUACAUAACUAAAGUUUAGCAAACAUAUAUGCCAAUAAAAAUAAAUUUUAUUUAAUUUGAUGAAAGAAAUUAAAAUUUUUUUUACCUUAAUAAUAACAAAUUAUGAAAAUUACCAUUUUAAAUAUGAAGAUCAUCCCAAUAAAAUAAAUUUAUAUGUAUAGAUAUGAUCAAUUGUAUUAUAUAAUUUACAUAUAACUAUACUUCUAUAUUUUAGAUAAUAGAUUUUUCAGUUUAUUCAAUUUAUAUAGGAAAAUUAUGUAUGUCUGCAUUUUUUUUUAAAAAUAACGAACAUUUGGUUUUAUUGGUAUUACCAACUCCAAAUAACAUUUUUUUUAUUUCGGCUAGAUUCGGUUUUACCAGAUUAAACACCCUUCAUUACAAACACUCAGUUGUAUAGAUGAUAAUUUGACAAAUAAUUUCAAAACAUUUUGUCUUUUGCAAAAUAGUUUCCAGCUAUUCUAAUGGUGGGAUAGUGGAAUGAAUGUAGAACCAACUUUUCAAAAAGCACAUCAAAUACUAUAAAAGUAUAAAUUAGUGAACCACCCACCAGAACCAGCAGACAUUAAAAAGAAAAAUAUAGAGAGAACUUUAGAGGUUAGAGAGAUGAAGACGCAACAUUUAUGGUGGGAAGUUCUUGAUCUAUUCUUGGUACAAAACAAAGCUGUUGUUCCAUUCUUGAGUUUUAUAGCGGUUGUGGUUAUUGUCCUCUACUUGUACCGACCUUCCUGGUCCGUACUCAAUGUCCCCGGUCCAACCGCUAUGCCUCUUGUUGGCCACUUGCCCAUGCUGGCUAAGUACGGCCCUGACGUCUUCUCCGUUCUUGCCAAGCACUAUGGCCCUAUCUUCAGGUCCACUUCUCUCUCUCCCUCUCUCUUGAUUCAUAGUUGUUAUGGGUGUUUUACCCCCUAAACUGAGACCAUAGUGGUUUGUAAUUCUUUUGUGUGAUUUAAUGUAAUUUCGGGAUAUUUGGAUUUUGGUUCAGUUUGAUUUACAAUAAAAACAACUUAAUCAUUUUAAAUAGUUAAACAAUUAAUGUUAUAUGUAUUAAUAUGAUACCAUUUAUUUUACAACACGGAUAGUCAAACAAUAUACAGUUCUAGUAAAUUUUAGCUUAUUCAGUUCAGUUUGGUUCAGCUGCAAUAAAAUCGCCUUUUUCAUUAUCUCUAUGCUGUAAAAUUGUAAAACGAAACAAAUAUAAUUGAGUUUGAGUUCAGUUUAAACAUUUUUGUUUAGAGUCAAUUCGGUUUGGUUUGUAUUACAAUCUCUUAUGGCUGUUGUUAGGCAUUUCCUGAUUAGUGAACACAAAGUGUUUUGGGGAAAAGAAAAGAUGAACGCAACUGAUUAUAAGAAAAGACAGACAGAAACUUAUAAUAAAAGUAUAAUGAAAGGGUAAUCUAUUAAAAAAUAAAUGUAUCAAAAAUACAGAUUUCAGAUGGGGAGGCAACCAUUGAUAGUAGUUGCAGAAGCAGAGCUUUGCAGAGAAGUAGGGAUAAAAAAGUUCAAAGAUAUUCCGAACAGAAGUAUUCCUUCUCCAAUCUCAGCCUCUCCUCUUCACCAGAAAGGUCUCUUCUUCACCAGGUAUACGCUUCUUGACUAGAACCAACUCUUCUUCUAUAACUAUUAAUGAUGUAUGGAUCUUUUGACAGGGACAAGAGAUGGUCUAAGAUGAGAAACACCAUCUUAUCUCUCUACCAGCCUUCACAUUUGACAAGUCUUAUCCCAACAAUGCAAAAUUUCAUCACUCGUGCUACUCAUAACCUUGACUCUGAACCAGAAGAUAUCGUAAUCUCCAAUCUCUUCCUCAAGCUAACCACAGAUAUCAUCGGACAAGCUGCUUUUGGAGUGGAUUUCGGCCUCUCGGGUAAAAAAACAAUUAAAGAAGAUUCAGCAGAUAGCAGCAAUGUAGAGGUUACUGAUUUCAUAAACCAGCAUGUGUACUCCACAACACAGCUCAAGAUGGAUUUGUCUGGCUCAGUCUCCAUCAUCUUAGGCUUACUGAUUCCCAUCUUACAAGAGCCGUUCAGGCAGAUUUUGAAGAGAAUACCUGGAACUAUGGACUGGAGAGUGGAGAAGGCUAACACGAGACUUAGUGGACAACUCAAUGAGAUUGUGUCAAAGCGAGCCAAGGAGAGAGAUACUGACUCAAAAGAUUUCUUGUCAUUGAUUUUGAAAGCUAGAGAGUUGGACUCUUUUGCCAAGCGCAUCUUUACCCCUGAUUAUAUUAGCGCUGUGACUUAUGAGCAUCUUCUUGCUGGCUCUGCUACCACUGCUUUCACGUUAUCCUCUGUUCUCUACUUAGUAUCUGGUCAUCUUGAAGUUGAGAAACGUCUGCUUCAAGAGAUUGACGAGUUUGGAGGACGUGAUCUGAUCCCAACUUCCCAUGAUUUAAAAUACAAGUUUCCAUACCUUGAUCAGGUGCUUUUUUCUACAAAAAACCUGGAAAGUUGAUUUUAUUAGAAUUUUUGAAUGCAUGUUUUUUUUUUUGCUUUUUCUUCUUUGUAGGUCAUCAAAGAGGCUAUGAGAUUCUACAUGGUUUCCCCAUUGGUUGCAAGGGAAACAGCAAAAGAAGUGGAGAUAGGAGGUUACCUACUUCCCAAGGUAUCAACUCAAAACCCCUUUUUUUUUUUAGUUUCCAUUCACAAAAACUUACCUUGUUAUUGUUGUUUUAGGGGACAUGGGUUUGGUUGGCACUAGGAGUUCUAGCAAAGGACCCCAAAAACUUUCCUGAUCCAGAAAAGUUCAAGCCGGAGAGAUUUUAUCCUAAUGGAGAAGAGGAGAAACUUAGACAUCCAUAUGCUUUCAUCCCGUUUGGCAUUGGUCCACGAGCCUGUGUUGGACAAAGAUUUGCCCUGCAAGAGAUCAAACUCACCUUGUUGCAUCUCUACCGUAAUUACAUUUUUAGACAUUCUCCAGAUAUGGAGAAACCACUGCAGCUUGAUUAUGGUGUAAUCCUCAGCUUCAAGAAUGGUGUUAAGCUCAGAGCCAUCAAAAGACAAUAAUUCUAUAAUACUGAGAGCAGCAUGAUGAAAUAAAUGUGAAAAACCGAAUUUUUAUAUUUAAAAUUCAUCAAAAACUCCAAUGUAGUUUCAGAGGAAAAAAUAUAUAUAUUUAACAUACACAGACAACAACAAGCUGUUGAAACUUUUCUAAGGCAAUUGAUAUGAAUCUAAGAAUGUCUGUCACUUCAUCACUCAAUCUCAGCUGUACAAAAAGUGCGUCCUAGAGGAGUUUCGUUUGUGAAAUUUGAAGGAUCAUUCAAAGUGUAUUCUUGAUUUUAUUUAGGGUUUUUGUCUGUGUUUGUUACAAACACACCAUCCACAUUUUCUACUAACCCGUUUUUCUUCUUCUAUUUAACUCUCCACAGUCCAUAAAUUAAAAGUUCACUAAUUCUUUGUGUUUUGUGAAACCUGACAAAAAUCAUGUUGGCCACCGGAAGGGUAGCAAAACAAAAGGAAAUAGCCCAAAGUACAAGGCGUGUUGCCAAUCAAGGAAAGGCAACUGUGCUUGCUCUCGGUAAGGCCUUCCCCAGCAAUGUAGUCUCUCAAAAGAAUCUCGUGGAGGAGUAUCUCCGUGAAAUAAAAUGCGAUGACCCCUCUAUCAAAGAGAAGCUGCAACACUUGUGUAACAUUCAUCAUUUUUUUAAUUUCCCUCUAAUUUCUUUUACAACCUUUUACGUCCGCCCUUGUAUGGAUAUAUAGUAAGCAUAAUACGUGAUAUGGCUUGGUGGUGUUAGGUAAAACCACAACUUUGAUUAUGGUGUAAUCCUCAGCUUCAAGAAUGGUGUUAAGCUCAGAGCCAUCAAAAGACAAUAAUUCUAUAAUACUGAGAGCAGCAUGAUGAAAUAAAUGUGAAAAACCGAAUUUUUAUAUUUAAAAUUCAUCAAAAACUCCAAUGUAGUUUCAGAGGAAAAAAUAUAUAUAUUUAACAUACACAGACAACAACAAGCUGUUGAAACUUUUCUAAGGCAAUUGAUAUGAAUCUAAGAAUGUCUGUCACUUCAUCACUCAAUCUCAGCUGUACAAAAAGUGCGUCCUAGAGGAGUUUCGUUUGUGAAAUUUGAAGGAUCAUUCAAAGUGUAUUCUUGAUUUUAUUUAGGGUUUUUGUCUGUGUUUGUUACAAACACACCAUCCACAUUUUCUACUAACCCGUUUUUCUUCUUCUAUUUAACUCUCCACAGUCCAUAAAUUAAAAGUUCACUAAUUCUUUGUGUUUUGUGAAACCUGACAAAAAUCAUGUUGGCCACCGGAAGGGUAGCAAAACAAAAGGAAAUAGCCCAAAGUACAAGGCGUGUUGCCAAUCAAGGAAAGGCAACUGUGCUUGCUCUCGGUAAGGCCUUCCCCAGCAAUGUAGUCUCUCAAAAGAAUCUCGUGGAGGAGUAUCUCCGUGAAAUAAAAUGCGAUGACCCCUCUAUCAAAGAGAAGCUGCAACACUUGUGUAACAUUCAUCAUUUUUUUAAUUUCCCUCUAAUUUCUUUUACAACCUUUUACGUCCGCCCUUGUAUGGAUAUAUAGUAAGCAUAAUACGUGAUAUGGCUUGGUGGUGUUAGGUAAAACCACAACUGUGAAGACACGCUACACCGUCAUGUCUAGCGAGACGAUGCAAAAAUACCCUGAGCUAGCAACCGAAGGUACCCCAACCAUCAAACAGAGGCUUGAGAUCGCAAACGAUGCGGUUGUGCAGAUGGCAUAUGAAGCGAGCUUGGCUUGCAUCAAGGAAUGGGGAAGGGGAGUGGAAGAUAUCACUCAUCUUGUCUAUGUUUCCUCCAGUGAGUUCCGUUUGCCCGGGGGUGACCUUUACCUCUCGGCACAACUGGGACUUAGCAACGAGGUGCAGAGGGUGAUGUUUUAUUUUCUGGGAUGCUACGGAGGUGUGAGUGGGAUGCGCGUGGCCAAGGACAUUGCUGAGAACAACCCAGGGAGCCGGGUGCUGCUCACCACCUCCGAGACUAUGGUUCUUGGGUUCCGUCCCCCCAACAAAGCUCGCCCUUACGACUUAGUCGGGGCUGCUCUCUUUGGAGACGGAGCAGCUGCCCUGAUCAUCGGAGCAGACCCUACAGAGUCAGAAAGUCCCUUCAUGGAGCUUCACUAUGCGCUGCAGCAGUUCCUACCAGGAACGCAGGCGGUGAUUGAUGGGCGGUUGUCUGAGGAGGGCAUAAGCUUCAAGCUAGGAAGAGA